GGUGCAUCAGUAGUGGCUUUCAUUGGAUUAGCUCUCAUAGUUCUAAUGACAAUAAUGAAAAAACAACUUAAAGCGUCUCCUCCGUUAAUAAACCCUCCCACUCCUUCCAUUACUCCUCCUCCUUAUCAGCUACCUAAAGGAGACGCCCACUCAAUUCAAAAACCACGCCAACCGCUCACAACCAGUGAAACAACACCUUUAAUUAACAAGAUCAAAUAAAUGAAUUUUAACAAGACUGUAGUUGUCAAAAAUAAUGCGACAAUAAGUUAUUAUUAUUAUUAUUAUUAUUUUCAUAUUUCUUCUUCUCCUUUGUAUGUAAACUUAUUUUUAUCAGUCUCCCAGACAAC